UAGUUUAUAAAAAGGGAAACACCAGAAACAGAAUUCCUGUUUGUGCCUGAAGGUGAAGUUUCUUUAGCAAUUGCUACUUUUCAAUAAGUAUGUUUGAUUAAGUUGUUAUUUACACAGUGUGUGAAAAAUACUACCAACUGGUAAUAAAUAAUGAUUGCUCAUUUAUACAUAAAAUCACAUCCUGAUAGGCUGAUUUGUCCAAUCCUAAUUGCAUGUCUGCACAGACAGGCACAGAUCAUAAUUAUGUAGAUUCACAGACUCAGAAGUAAGUCCUAGUUAAUUACAUGAGGCUUACUCCCAGGUAAAUGGAGUUAGGACUGUAGUGUUGCAUGAAGUGCAAGCUCUCAUCACAGAGUCUGUAUUGCAUGUGUAUUUGAUGUACGUUAUCUUGUAUGUAUUCUUUACUACUAUCACGUAUUUCCAUAUGUGAAAAAGACCAGGUUAUUAUCAUCCUGUACAGCAAACAGACAGCGUGGGUGGUUAUUGUUUUUGUUUGUUACUAUAUUAUGUAUUUUUGUGUUUUUAUAUUGUAAACUGCCCUGUGAUCCUCAGAUGAAGGGCAAUAUAGACAUUUAUUAAAUCAGCAUCCGUAGUGCAUGGAUAGGGACUUUCAGUUCUUAGAAUGAACUAGUUCAAUUGAAUGAAAUUCACUGAACUAGUUCAAAACUCUCUGAACUGCACCUGAGUUCCCAUAAGUGCCAGAUGAAUGAAAGGUGAAAUAAGUUCAUUUGGGGGGUAGAACUCUGAAUAUUUUCUAGUUCAUCUUCAUGUUCAUCCAACCCUGCUACCCCCAUUAAAAAAGAAAGAAAAGUCAUUUUGGACACAUAUAAAGAAAGUUAGAAAGCAAAACAUGGAGCCAAUUCUCUGAGGCUCAUUAGGGUAGAUAUGGAAGUGCUGCUGUUGUUAAUAAUGCAGCACUGUUGUUAAGCAAUUGGAGGAAGGCAUGUGAGGCAUUUCUUGUAAUUUCCCUUCUGAAGAGUUUUAUUCUCUUCCAACAGGAAGAGCUCGCAGCAAGAAAUCUCGGUCCAGGAACAAAAAGAAUGUUGCCUUGUGCCAGCUGUGUGGCUAGCACAAAUUAAACAGGAAUUAGAUGACCUUUCACAAUUCCAGAAGGAUGGCUGCAGUGGUUUUCCUGGAGGAGCAGGCUUUACUGUUCUAGAGUGGUUGAAAAAGGAUGCACUUAAUCUCCCUUACUGUUUUAUGGGUCCUGUGUAUGAAAACAGAAAACGUUAUAGAGAUACCACUAGGACAUUUGGGAUGUGGAUCUUACCUGAACUGGUAGAGAGAUGGAACUUUUGCCAUAUUGCUAAAGUUGCACUGCAGAUAACAGAAUUUAGAAAUAAAUGAGGGCACAACCCUGCAUUAGUGUGGAAAGGAAAAUCCUCCACUAGCUCUAAGAAGAAACAACAUGUGACCAAAGGUACAUACUGGAUCAAACAGCAACUAUACAACUAGAAAUUGUAAGUGUAGAAGAGUUGAAAUUCUGUUAGUUUGUUUGUUUGUGUGGAAUUUUAUUAUUAGGAAACAAUCCAAGUCAGAUUAACAAUUGAGAAAACUUUUCUGUCCACAGUUCACCCCUUUAAUAAUCUAAUUGGGUGCAGACGUACCAAUAGUGAAGCUUUGGUAUUGUGACUUUGUGUAUGCAAUUUUUGCCUGAGAGUAAGGCCCAUUUAAUGCAGUGAGACUUACUUUUAAGGAGAUAUACAUAGGAUUGCUGUCAAUGUUCAUAAUCGUUAAUCGGCUCAAACUCAUUAAAUCAUUAAUUGGCACAAAGGAAGGUCCAUAAAUCACAAGGAUGGGAAAUAUAUAGAGUUCUUUUUUUCUUUCUCAUGGUUUAGAACACACUCCUCUCACAUUUCU